UACGUAGGGUGCGAGCGUUAAUCGGAAUACUGGGCGUAAAGCGUGCGCAGGCGGUGAUGUAAGACAGAUGUGAAAUCCCCGGGCUCAACCUGGGACCUGCAUUUGUGACUGCAUCGCUAGAGUACGAUAGAGGGGGAUGGAAUUCCGCGUGUAGCAGUGAAAUGCGUAGAUAUGCGGAGGAACACCGAUGGCGAAGGCAAUCCCCUGGACCUGUACUGACGCUCAUGCACGAA
rnacentral:rRNA from 1 species